AGAGUUUGAUCCUAGCUCAGGAUGAACGUUGGUAGCAUGCCUAACAUAUGCAAGUCGAGCGAAAAAUGGUAGCAAUAUCAUUUUUAGCGGCGUACGGGUGAGUAAUGCUUAUCUUACCUACCAUUUAGUGGGGGAUAAAAUACCGCAUAUUCUUUGGCUUCGGCUUCGGCCGCGGGCAAAGGAAAGGGAGCCUUCGGGCUUUCGCUAAAUGAUGGGGAUAAGUCGCAUCAGCCGAUGAAAGUGGGGUAAUGGCCUACUGAGGCAAUGACGCGUAGCCGGGCUGAGAGGCUGAUCGGCCACAAGGGAACUGAAACACGGUCCCUACUCCUACGGGAGGCAGCAAUGGGGAAUCGUCGGCAAUGGGGGAAACCCUGACCGCGCAAUGCUACGUGAAGGAGGAAGGUCUACGGAUUGUAAACUUCUUUACUCAGGUGUACUCCUAAAAACUUGCAUCUGAGCAAAAAGCCACGACUAACUACGUGCCAGCAGUCGCGGUAAGACGUGGGUGGCAAACGUUAUCCGGAAUUAUUGGGCGUAAAGGGUGCGUAGAUGGUCUGACAAGUUAGCAGUGGCAAAUCGAGGCUCAACCUCGUGGAAGCUGGUAAUACUAUCUGGCUUGAGUGCAGGAGAGGUUAACGGAACUCCAUGUGGAGCGGUAAAAUGCGUAGAUAUAUGGAAGAACACCAAUAACGGCGAAGGCAGUUAACUAUUCUGUUACUGACAUUGAGGCACGAAAGCGUGGGGAGCAAAACGGAUCAGAUACCCGUGUAGUCCACGCCCUAAACGAUGAGUGCUAGAUAUUGGGAACUCGAUUCUCAGUGUCGCCAGGUAACCCAGUAAGCACUCCGCCUGGGUAGUACGGUCGCAAGGCUGAAACUCAAAGGAAUUGACGGGGACUCGCACAAGCAGUGGAGCAUGUGGUUUAAUCCGAUACGACGCGUAGAACCUUACCAAGGCUUGACAUGUUGGGCAAAGCUAGAGAAACCUAGUGGAGGUUAUCCUAACACAGGUGCUGCAUGGCCGUCGUCAGUUCGUGCCGUGAGGUGUAUGGUUAAGUCCUAUAACGAACGCAACCCUUGGGCUUAGUUGCCAGCAUUAAGUUGGGGACUCUAAGCCGACUGCCUGAGUAAUCAGGAGGAAGGAAAGGAUGACGUCUGGUCGUCAUGGCCCUUAUGCCUUGGGCGACACACGUGCUACAAUGGUUAGUACAAAGCGCUGCCAACCUGCGAAGGGGAGCCAAUCGCAAAAAACUAACCUCAGUUCGGAUUGGAGGCUGCAACUCGCCUCCAUGAAGUCGGAAUUGCUAGUAAUCGCAAAUCAGCCAUGUUGCGGUGAAUACGUUCUCGAGUCUUGUACACACCGCCCGUCAAGUCACGAAAGUCGGUAAUACCCGAAACCAGUUAGUUAACCCGCAAGGGAUACAGUUGACAAGGGUAGGAUUGGCAAUUGGGGCUAAGUCGUAACAAGGUA
rnacentral:rRNA from 1 species